UUCGCCCUUAGAGUUUGAUCCUGGCUCAGAACGAACGCUGGCGGCAUGCCUAACACAUGCAAGUCGAACGAGAUCUUCGGGUCUAGUGGCGCACGGGUGCGUAACGCGUGGGAAUCUGCCCUUGGGUUCGGAAUAACUUCGGGAAACUGAAGCUAAUACCGGAUGAUGACGUAAGUCCAAAGAUUUAUCGCCCAAGGAUGAGCCCGCGUAGGAUUAGCUAGUUGGUGAGGUAAAGGCUCACCAAGGCGACGAUCCUUAGCUGGUCUGAGAGGA
rnacentral:rRNA from 1 species